GAGUUGAUGAUGCUACUGAGUUAUCCCUGACUGAAGAGGAAUAUUCCUCCCCUUGUGGAGAUCAGACUUGCUGAACUU
rnacentral:snoRNA from 1 species